ACAGGAUUUAGAAUAUUACAUGAACUUAGUUGAUAAAGCAGUGGCAGAGUUUUAGAGGAUGGAAUCCAAUUGUGAAAUGACUUCUAUCUUGAGUAAAAUGCUAUCCAUCGCAUGCUACAGAGAAAUCGUUCAUGAAAGGAAGAGUCAAUCUAUGUAGAAAAGUUCAUUGUUGUCUUAAUUUAAGAAAUUGCUACAGCCACCUCACCUUUCAGCAACCACUACCCUGAUCAGUCAGCAACCAUCGACAUUGAGGCAAAACCCUCCACCAGCAAAAAUAUCACGACUCCCUGAAGGCUCAGCUGAUGCUUCCAUUCUCUCCCUGGAAUUUCCCUCUUGGAUGCUUCCUUUUGGAGCUCAGUCACCAUGCCUUGAGAAGCCCAAGCAGGAAAAGGUUGUGUGUAGGUGCUCUAGUUGACAGUGUGAGCUGAGGUAAGCCUUCAAAUCAUCCCAGUCUAGAGGCCAGAUGUGAGUGACUAAGCCAUUCUGGAAAUGGAUCCUUCAGUCCAAGUUACUAGAACUCUCAGCUGUUUGAGUCAUGUCUGCUGUUCACAUCUUCCCAGCUGAGGCACCAAACAACUUGGAGAGAUAAGCCAUCCCUCCUGUACCCUGUUUGAGUUAUUGAUCCACAGAAUCUAUGAGAAUAAUACAAUUGUUAUUUUAUUUCACUAAGUUUUGGGGUAGUUGUUUGUGCAGAAAUAGCAACUGGGACACAAUUUGGUAUCAGAAGUGUGAUGCUGCUGUAACAAAAACCUAAAACGUGGCUUUGAGAUUCGUGGUGGUUGGAAGCUGGAAGGCCUUGAGGAAUUUGCUAGUGGAAGCCUAACAAACUUCAAGAAAGCUGUUGGUUAGGGCUUAAAGAAGAUUGAGCAAAAUGUUAUUGGGACUUAGAUGAAAGGAGACCCUUAUUUUAUAGUAACUCAAAAAUUUUAAAUAUUGUCACCUGUAGGAAUGUGAAAAAUAGGUAAUAUUCUUAAUGAACUGAUGUAUCUGGCUAAGGAUUUUCCAGGAAGAAUGUUAAAAACGUUAGCUGGUUUCCUUUAUCUGAAUAUUAUAAGAUAGGACAUAGAGAAAUGAGCUAAAAACAAAUUUAAAAAGAACAGGGAAUUAUUCAAUUUUCAGUGUCUAGGAUAACUAUAAAAGAUCCAAAUACAACUGAAAAUUCUACUAUUUAUCACCCCAAAUCUCUCCAAGGGCAGAUUAUAUCGAGGGCACUGUCAGGAAAAUGUGUCUUAGGGUAAAGAAGUCAAGGCUGAGACCAUAAAACUGUCUAUUAGGACCUCAGAAAUAUUUAAAUGUGUUGCCUCAUAAUUCUUUUCAGUCAAAGAGCAAUUUUUAUGAUUAUGCUCUCAGUUCAAUAAUAGAUCUUCCAGGAAUCUUAAAGUGGCUGUCCCACAGCAGCCUCACACGAGACCCCAAGUAGAGCAUAUCUUAGGAAGAGAUUUGUAAGUAUGACUUCUAUUUAAAUGGAGUGGAUUUAUAAAUUGAUGCAUAAGAAAAUGAUAAAAUUUUUAAGGUAACUGUAUUGGCAGAAAUACCACCAGCUUGGACUGAAAGUAAGAGAGACAGAGCAACAUGAAGAGAAGUUCUUGGACCUCCAUAUUUCAAUGGGCAGAGAGGAGACUGAGAAAAGUGCUCAGCAAACAUAGGGUUGUUUUUAUGGAAAAGGAAGGGUGACUAAAACAGAGAAUUCAGAGUCUAGAAUUUGAGGCUAAGAUCAUUGGAGAACAGCUCACAUAACCUAGGACAGGACUAUAAUCUAGAAACAAGCUAUAUAUGCCUACCUAGAUUUCAGAAAUAUUAUGAUCCAUGGAUAGCUAUGUGCCUCCAUUAGCACUUUGUAAUACAAGUAUCCAUAAUAUUUAUUCUAUGCCCAGCCUAUGAUUGCAUGUUGGGUGGUUGCCUGGCAGAUGGCUGAUCUCUUUAGUUCACCAUUUUUUAGAUGAAGAGGAACUGUGCCUGAUGACUCUUCUCCACAUUUGAACUUAAUUUAGGUGACAAAAUCCUGACUUUGAGCCUGAGACUGAACUGUAAUGCGAUGAUCCUUUUGAGCACUAUUGAAAGAGGGCGAGCGUAUUUUUCAUGUGGAAGGAAUGCAAAUAAUUUGUGGACAGAAGGCAGAAUGUGGAGGUUUUGAAAUAUGCUACACAAAAUUUUUGAUGUUACUUCCCUCAUAGGUGAUGACUAGGUUCCUUCCCUUUGAAUCUGAGAAGUCUUGUGACUUCUGAGGAGAGGUCAUAUAAAGGGUUUGCAACUUCUGUCAGAUUCUCUUGGAAUACUCCUUCUUAAUGCAGUUUUUCAGAACCUGGCUAUCAUGCUGUGAGUAGCCUGUGCCAUGUGGAGAGGUGGUGUGGAGUAGUACCUGUCAACGUUCUCAGCUGAGACCAGCCUUUGUGUCAUCUCAGCAAGAUGACAGAUAAGUAGGUGAAGAGGUUAUCUUGGAAGUGGAUCUUUUGGUCACAACCAUUCUAGUUCCCAUCCCUUGGAGUCAUCCUCAACUCCUUGGUUCCUCCUAGCUGAGGCCCGAGGCAUUGUAGAACAGACAAACCAUCCCUGCUGCGUCCUGUCCAAAUCCCCGACCCACAGAAUUCAUGAGCAUAACAAAAUUGUUGUUUGUGUCACUGAGUUUCAGAAUAGUUUGUUACAAAACAAUACUAACUGGAACAUUAUGAAAGGGUUGUUUAAAAAUAUAUAUAUAUACAUAUUUUCAGAAUGCUAUGGUAGCUGCCAGAUACACUGUUAAGUAAUAGAGGC
ensembl:lncRNA